GAAGCAAGCCAGGCAGCCGCCGGUUUCCGGUCUUUUCCGGAAACGGGAGGAAGGUCCGGACACCACAGGACAGGGUGACGGUUAACGGCCGUCCGUCGAAAACCGAGAGGCAUAAGACGAGGAACAGGGCCACAGAGACGAGCGUAUUAAGUUACGGUGAAACGCGGCAACCUCCACCCGGUGCAAUUCCAAAUAGGCACGCUAUGAUGCGGUCCGCGGAGCGUGCGGGUAGGAAGCUCGAGCGCCGGAGCAAUCCGGCGCCUAGAUGAAUGGCUGUCAUAGUACUAAGGUACCGUAACAGAAUCCGGCCUAUCGGCUUGCUUUUUUC
rfam:Oxalobacter formigenes HOxBLS genomic scaffold supercont2.1, whole genome shotgun sequence.